GCCCGGAUGGUCUAGUGGUGUGGUUCUUGCUUUGGGCUACAAUAGUACCAAUCUGCGAGAGGCCCCGCGUUCACGUGGUUCGGGCC